UCGGGAAUUUUGGGCAAUGGGGGAAACCCUGACCCAGCAACGCCGCGUGAAGGAUGAAGUAUUUCGGUAUGUAAACUUCGAAAGAAUAGGAAGAAUAAAUGACGGUACUAUUUAUAAGGUCCGGCUAACUACGUGCCAGCAGCCGCGGUAAUACGUAGGGACCAAGCGUUGUUCGGAUUUACUGGGCGUAAAGGGCGCGUAGGCGGCAUGACAAGUCACUUGUGAAAUCUCUGGGCUUAACCCAGAACGGCCAAGUGAUACUGUCGCGCUAGAGUACAGAAGGGGCAAUCGGAAUUCUUGGUGUAGCGGUGAAAUGCGUAGAUAUCAAGAGGAACACCUGAGGCGAAGGCGGGUUGCUGGGCUGAUACUGACGCUGAGGCGCGAAAGCUAGGGUAGCAAACGGGAUUAGAUACCCCGGUAGUCCCUGAGCGGGCUGGCAAGGCGCAU
rnacentral:rRNA from 1 species